GACGAACGCUGGCGGCGUGCCUAAUGCAUGCAAGUCGAGCGACGCACAUCGGAGGGGUAACCCACCGAUAUGCCGGAGCGGCGAACGGGUGAGUAACACGUGAGCAACCUGCCCCACAGAUCGGGAUAGCCCAGGGAAACCUGGAUUAAUACCGAAUACCCUCGAGUAACCACAUGAUUGUUCGAGGAAAUGCCUUUGUGCUGUGGGAUGGGCUCGCGGCUUAUCAGCUAGUUGGUGGGGUAACGGCCUACCAAGGCAUCGACGAGUAGCUGGUCUGAGAGGACGAUCAGCCACACUGGGACUGAGACACGGCCCAGACUCCUACGGGAGGCAGCAGCAGGGAAUCUUGCGCAAUGGGCGAAAGCCUGACGCAGCAACGCCGCGUGGGGGAUGAAGGCCUUCGGGUUGUAAACCCCUUUCAGGAGGGAAGAAAUUGACGGUACCUCCAAAAGAAGCCCCGGCUAACUACGUG
rnacentral:rRNA from 1 species